rnacentral:misc_RNA from 1 species
UGUUGCACUAAGGCUCACUCUCAAAGUUCCAACAGUCCAGUGUAGCCAACUUGAACAGUUCUGAAGUACAUGGGAUUUUUACAGGAGUUCCAAUCCACAUGAGAACACAGUACAUCAUCAUUAACUAGAAGGAUAUAAAAACAACAAAUUGAAACUUCACGUGUAAUUAGUUCUCAAUUAAAACCAACAACUAAUAUCUCAAUCAAUAGUCAUGUUUUCCACCUCAUGCCUCACCGAAUCAAAAAGCUUUGUAGAUAGGUAACGCUCUCCAAAACUAGGCAAUAUCACAGCAAUGAGUUUCCCAGCAUUUUCAGGCCUCUUUGCUAGAUUAAUUGCAGCUGCUACUGCAGCACCAGAAGAUAUGCCAACCAAUAAACCUUCUUUGAGGGCGAGCAGCUUAGCAGUUUCAAUAGCUUCCUCACUUGAUACUUGAAGAACUUCAUCCAGCAAGUCAACAUCCAAAACACUAGGGAUUACACCAGCACCAAUUCCUUGGAUCAGAUGUGGACCAGGAUUUCUUCCAUUCAAUACUGCACUUUCAACUGGUUCUACGCCAUAAACCUUAAUCUCUGAGUUUUUCUCCUUGAGGAAUUUCCCAGCUCCAGUCACAGUUCCACCAGUUCCAAUCCCUGCAACCAAGAUAUCAACUUUACCUCCCGAGUCUUUCCAAAUCUCUGGGCCAGUGGUUUCAUAGUGAAUCUUUGGAUUGGCAGGAUUUUCAAACUGAUGAAUCAUAUAACUAUUAGGUGUAUUUUUCUGUAUCUCCUCUGCCUUCUUGAGAAUCUCAUAAUAACCCUUGUUUGGAUCUGUGAGGUACAACUCUGCUCCAAAAGCUCUUAGCACAAUCCUUCUCUCAAGACUCUUUGAAGCUGGCAUAAUGGCAAUAACUUUGUAACCCUUUGCCGCAGCAAUGGAUGCCAGUGCAAUCCCAGUGUUACCACUGGUAAGCUCAAUGAGGACAGUCUUCCCUGGUAUAAUCAAACCCUUCUCUUCUGCAUCUUUGAUCAUACUAUGUGCUAUCCUAUCUUUAACACUAAAGCAAGGUUCCAUCAUUUCAAGCUUGGCAGCAAUUCGAGCUUCACAAUCUUCCAAGAUAUUGUUGAGAUAUACCAUAGGAGUGUUGCCUAUUAAUUCAGUAACAUCUUUCCUGAUUGCACACUUGUCCUCCAUUAUUUUCUAGAAAAUCAGGGAGCUCUUGCUAGCUAUAACGUAAGGUUAGUUGGCGACUGCACUAGGGUAUUUGUGGACUUUGGAUUCUAAACUAUCCGAAUCUAAUAUUUUAGAAAAUUUCUGAUUUUUUUUUUUAAUUUA